UCGCACGUCCGUCCAGGUGUAAAGGAAGGUAGAUUUUCGAGCCCGAUGAGACCCGAGAGCGCAGAGCACAGGUACACGUGACCUUCCCUAGGAAAUUAUCGCAUCGUGAAAAUUUCAUCCGACGAAUCAAUCGGCGAAAAGAACACCUGGAUCGGGGUAACGAACCGAGAUCGGAGUACGAUGAAAGAUACGAGGUAAAAAGAUACCGAUUCGCGCGGGGGAUUUUAUUUCUUAUAAUUUUGUACACGUAAGAAAUACAACGGGGCCCUGAAAUAAGCGAAUAAUCAUCUCUUUGAUGUAUGGAAGAACACAUUCGGAAGAAGAAGACGAAGGAGAAGAGGAGGAGGAGAAUAAGGAGCCGAAAGGUGAAAAGUUUGGAUUCGUCAUCGAGGACGUCGAGUGUUGAGAGCUCGAGUUCGCGGCGAUGAGAUAGAGGUACCUGUAUGCGAGAGAACGGAGAGGACGCGAGAGUCGAGAGAUAGAGAGGGACGGAGGUUGUUUAAUUCCAUGAAUGUAUGAGUAUGGGGUAUCCGAGUAUUGGUGAUAGUUGGUUGGGUACAGUCAUUCAAGGAGAAUGUAGUUACCUGGCCGACAGAAACGGCAACGGCAACGGCAACGGCAACGGCAGCGGUGAUGCCAGAUCUAUCCGAUUAUAUGCUGCUGGUGGAGCAGGUAUAAUACAUGCCUAGUCUUUUUACGAAUCCAUGUACUCGUAUACCCGAUAAAAACGUAUCGCGGAAUGAUUUUGAACAUUCACGAAAUAACACCUGACAAAGAAGAGAAACAUCGCGCUCUCAACGAACAAAGGCACACACGGUCCACGGAGAACUGCAGCGUUCGCAAAUUCGAAACUCCCGGAAUAAUUGGUCGCGUUUUGCAUAAUCGAAACGCAAUCUCGUGAGACGACAAAAAUCGGUGUGAUAUAGUUCAAAAGGUAUCCCUACCGUACGAGGAUUUCGUUAUGGUUGAAAAGUGAAAUUUUAUGUGCCCCACACGAUCUGAAGACACUUUUCGUGAUUGCAAGUAUACUGUACGAUAAACUCAGUUGCGAUUGAUUAUUAUUUUACCGCCUAUGAUAAAUUUUUGUUGUCGAAGAUAGCUGAUCUAUUACACAAGAUCUGACUAUAAUUACUAUAAAUUACCCUCAAAAGACAAAAAAAAAAAAAGAAAAGAAACCAUGAUAUUAUAUCGGUCUUCCACGAGAAACGAACACUGCAACUACAUGUAUGUAUAAAUAGUCCUAGCGAAGACGAAAAAAUUCGAAAAUCUGUUGAAAAUAAUAUUUCCAUGGAGGGUUGUAAUAAAAAACUUAUGCAACUUUUCAUGCUCAGACUGACUUCGCCUUAUCGCUGCCAAAAAAUUUUGUCAUCCGACGACAGGAUGAGUAGGAAACAAGAAAAUCACAUCAACGGACUGUCGUAACAGACAGAAACAUCGGCGAUGAAAAAUAGUAGCGUGCAGGAAUUAAUUUCUGAUUGACAAAAAAUUUGUUAAAAAUCCCGCAGAAUAUAAUGUGCGUAUAACGGUGUUGUUGUUUCGUUGUAUGUUUACUUUUUUUUUUUGCCCUUGUUUAAGAUUGAAAAGUACCGCGAGUGCUAAACGACGAAACAUACCCGAGAGCGAACUGUCGAAAGAAAAAUAAACCCUAGUGUUCUCUGGAAAAAAAAAAAAAAAUCACACGAUUCCCAAUAAUAAAACAUUACGCUCGACGUAUAUAUUCGAAACAUAUAAUCUGUGUAAUUUGAUUAAGACUAUACGUAUUAGAAUCUGUGAUGCGCUUCGAGGGUUUCCGUUGCAGUUGUGUAGCAGCAUUAUUUUUGUCAUUGUUAUUGUUGCUCUUCUUGUUACCGUACGUUGGUGUUAAAUUUUAUUUAGCGAAAGAUCGAUCGAUCGACUCUUCGUCUGAAAAGAAAAUUUUGUGCUCGAGUGUUAUAACAUUUAUUGUGAUACUAAAUAAUAAUAAGGAAUCGAGAUAGCGGCGUGAUGCUGCUGGCAGCCUUUUCUUUCUUCUAUUUCUUUCUUUUUCCUGACUCCUAAAAAAGGAGGGGUGCAUUUAUCGGUGUCGAUUAAAGUAUUUUAACAAACUUCAACCCAACCCCUGCGAAGGAUAACUCGAUCCUACGGUGAUUUUUUGUUAAAACAAAGACGACUAAUAAGGAUAAGAAGUGUUAUCGUCGGUGUUGAAAUAGAUGAAGUAAAUUCGAGCCUUCGCCCGCUGGAUAUCGCGGUCCUGCAGCAGCAGCAGCUUUUAUCGGAGUUAUAGAAUGUCCUGCGGGGGGACGAUAUUAUGUCGGGGACGGUUGAUGCACCUGAUUCAGGUCGCCCUCCUCAUCCUACUGCUACUUGGGACAGUCUGCAUGCCUCUCAUUGUUGUCGUUGCUUCGCCUAUUCAUCCGCUGCCGCCACACAGAGGUAUAUCGAGGGGUUCGUACAUUCGACAUUAUGGGGCUGCUUGGUACGACACUUCGGCGUUGCGUCAACAUCGCGAUCGUGUGCGUCGCGACGCUUCCGACAACCUCAAAGAUCAACCCUUGACUCUACGGCUGCACGCCCUCGACAAAAUGUGGACGAUAAAAUUGGUACGUGACGGUGGCUUGUUCGCGGACGACGCGAUUUUCGAAAAUUCCGAUGGAAUCAUAUCGUUCGACACUAACAGGGCGUACGUCGGGAGUAUUUUGGAGGAUGAGAACGCGUCGGUCCAAGGAGUCGUCACGGAGGAGGGUCUGUUCGACGGUACCGUGUGGUCGGGACUGGAGGAAUAUUACAUAGAACCGUCGAGCAGAUAUUCCGUCGAGGACGAGGACACCAGCCCACCCUAUCACACCAUAGCUUACAGAGCUUCCGACGUCACGUCACCCUCGCAACCUCUUCGCUGCGCCAGCCAGCACCUGAGCCGCGGCACUCUUCGCGAGAGCAUCGAUCGGGUAUCGGGAGGUGCGAACGUCAACGGUUCGUCCGAACCACUCUACGAGCAUCUGGUCGACGAGGAGAUUCACGCGCACGGCGGCCUUUACUCCAACGAACCAGUUCCGAAAAAAUCGGUGACGUCCGCCGAGAGGAACUACGAUCUCGAAUACCUCGACAGGGUAUACCGCGAACGUUACGCCAGGCAUCUCCACAAAAGGGCAACGGUGGAUCCUAGAAAAACAACGUGCAUGCUCUACUUGCAGGCGGAUCAUCAAUUUUUCUCAAGAUACGGAACCGAGGAGGCGUGCAUCGAAGUUAUGACCAGACACGUGCAAAGAGUUAAUUCCAUCUACAAACACACAGAUUUCAACCAAGACGGUCGCCCGGACAACAUAAGUUUCAUGAUAAAAAGGGUGAAGGUCCACAGCGGUGAGUCGGUGAAAGACCCGAACUACCGAUUCCCCGGAAAUUACGGCGUUGAAAAGUUCUUGGAACUCUUUUCCGAGGAAGAUUACGACGCGUUUUGUUUGGCAUAUAUGUUCACCUACAGAGAUUUUGAAAUGGGUACUCUGGGUCUCGCUUGGACGGGAGAUCUAAAAAAUGCCGGCGGAGUCUGCGAAAAAAAUGGGCACUACCGAGGUAGUAUGAAGUCACUGAACACCGGUAUCGUCACUUUACUCAACUACGGGAAACACGUGCCCCCAGCCGUAUCUCAUGUAACUUUGGCCCACGAAAUCGGUCACAAUUUCGGCUCUCCCCACGAUCCUGAACAAUGUACUCCUGGAGGAGAGGAUGGAAAUUUCAUAAUGUUCGCACGUGCUACCAGCGGUGAUAAGAGAAAUAACAACCGCUUCAGUCCGUGCAGUUUGAACGCUAUAAAUCCUGUACUAAACACCAAAGCGCGUUCGCCAAAAGGAUGUUUCACCGAGCCCCAAGCUUCUCUUUGUGGCAACGGUGUGGUAGAAGAAGGUGAAGAGUGCGAUUGCGGAUGGGAAGAAGAUUGCCGAGAUUCAUGUUGUUUUCCACAACGUCGUUAUCCGCCGGCCGAGGAACCUCCUUGUCGGCUUACUCCCGGAUCGAUUUGCAGUCCCAGUCAGGGUCCGUGUUGCACAAAUGAGUGCAAACUUCAAUUCGGUGUGAAAUGCAGAGACGACAACGGGUGCAGGGAUGCAAGUUUUUGCGACGGUAGAGUACCUCACUGUCCACCGUCUAUUAACAAACCCAAUAAAACCGUGUGCAACGAAGAACUGGUCUGCUUCAUGGGGGAAUGUACCGGAAGUAUUUGUCUGGCGUACGGUUUGGAAUCUUGUCAAUGCAUUCCCGGGCCGACCGAUCCCCCUACCAAGGCCUGUGAACUUUGUUGCCGCUUGCCCGGCGAAAAUCAGCCUUGCCUGUCUUCUUUCGACUGGAACAAAUGGCCGUACGAUAUACCGGAUAUGUUUUCGAAACCGGGAACACCUUGCAACGAUUACAACGGAUACUGCGACGUUUUUCAAAAAUGCAGAGAGGUGGAUCCGAGCGGUCCUUUAGCUACACUGAGGAAACUUCUCUUGUCCGACGAAAGUUUAGCUUCGUUCAAACGUUGGGUGGCCGAUCAUUGGUACGCCGUUGCGCUCAUUGUCCUCGGUGCGAUUUCGCUUUUGAGAAGGACGGAGAAGAAGACCGGGGAGAAUAAUUGCAAGAAUUGCAGUGGCGAGCACGAGACUGUUGGGGAAACGGCCGGACCUGAAGUUGAAAUCGGUAACGAUAAUUCACAGCUCGACAACGGAGACGGUCAGACUUCCUCCGGAAGGACAAGGGGGAGUGACCGUUCACCCGCCAGCGGUCAGGGCGAAACUUCCCUUGAGCAGGAAAGUCAGAGAGAAGAGGAGACGACGACGCAAGAUGCCUAGCAAAAACUCGUCAUCGGGGAACGGCGGGGCACAGGGUAACGAGAAACCGUCGAAAGUAUCGAAGAAGAAGAGGUCGGUAGCACCGGCGUCUUCGGGAUUGGCGGGAAACUCGAGUACUCCUCCAGGGGUAUUGGUUCAGCCGU
rnacentral:misc_RNA from 1 species